rnacentral:sRNA from 1 species
AAUGGCAAUGGUUUGGUGGGGUGGGAGGAUCCCAUGGUGUGACGCAGGUCUGAGCCCUGGCCGUGCUGGAUGUGGUCAUGAGCUUCGUCUAGUCAUCAGUCUGUCUCCUACAUGCCCGGGAUCCCACCAGGAGGCAUGUGAGUUUGGAUGGGGAGGCAAAUGCAGUGUUCCUGCCCUCAUGGAGUUGACUGUCUGGUGGGGGAGGCUGGUGUACAAUCUUGCAGGAGCAUCGCCUGGGAGCCCUGAAGGAUGAAUAGGGAGGAGCUGGCCAAGUCGAAAGGAGCGGGUGGUGUCAAGAGACCCCAGCAGAAGGACCAUCGUGCACAAAGAGCCUGAUCUGACGGGGCCUAGCUCCUGCCAGGGCAGUGGGUGCCUAGUGAGGCUGGAGCUAGAAAGCAGAGCCCCGGAGGGGUGCAGGGCACUUCCCACUUUGUCCAGGAGGAGCCUGAGGCCCAGGGAUCGGGACCUUGCCCUGGGAUAACCCAGCAAGUGAGCAUUGGAGCCAGAGCUAGAGCUAAGGGCGCCAGGCCCCAGGCUCAACUGUAUUCUCCACAUGUACUGAGUCGUGUUCUCAGGGUGCUCUUCCCUAGGUGGUCACAUUUGACUCUCACAAUGACCCUGUAAGGGAGGAAGAAUUCUUCUGCCCAUUUCUCAGAACUAGGAAACUGAGGAUCAUCUGGUUGACCGAGUGAAUGAAUGAGCUCGGUUUUCAUAUGUUCACCCAGUUCAUACUAGGCAGAGCCAGGCAGAGGCUUUUGGCCACAAAGCCAGGGUUUUAUCCAUUGUCUCCACUACCUAAAGCAUGUGCCUGCUCCAGGCAGGGGAUCACCGAUGCCCAGGACAAAAUCCUAGUUGUCUUACUUGUUAAAUUAGUUUAAAUUAUUAUUACUGUUAUGAGUAAUAACGGUCUUGUGUUUUAAGUGGUUUUUUUUUUUUUUAACUUCUUCAAAUCACUUUCACAGACCUAAUCUUUGUUUGCAAACACUGAAUGAGAUUAGGGGAUAUUGGUGUUAUUUUACAAAGAGAGGGACUGAGACCCAGGGAGGCUGAAUGACGCGCCAGCUUGAGGCCAGUCCCAGUAGAGAAAUCAGGUUUCUUUUGUGAGUAUGGGGCUUUCUAAAACAAUGGUCUCUGUUCUUAAGAUGAGGAGAGUAUCUGUGUGUCUGCCCCGUGACUGUGACCAGGAGAUACCCAGCCUGGCCCUGAGUUGUUACAGUGUCAUGCAUAUAGGUCACACUGACCUAAGCUCCAAGGAGACUAAAGGGUUUCAUCUUUGUCCUCCUCCUUCUCACUUCCUCCUCAUGCCCUGGAGUAGCCUGCCGGGGCUUCUCUUCCUUGUUCCCAGGGCCAGAUGUCAGAGGCCAUGGACCAGCCAGCUGGGGGUCCUGGAAACCCAAGGCCAGGAGAGGGUGAUGAUGGCAGCAUGGAGCCAGGCACCUGCCAGGAGCUUCUGCACCGACUGCGGGAGCUGGAGGCAGAGAACUCGGCACUUGCCCAGGCCAACGAAAACCAGCGGGAGACUUAUGAGCGCUGUCUGGACGAGGUCUGUGGGUCUGUAGUGGGACUGGGGGGACGUGGCUCAUCUGCUCCUGGCAGAAGCUGGGGUCAGCUGAUGGCUCUGCCUCGGGGCCUUCUGUCCCCAGGUUGCCAACCACGUGGUACAGGCGUUGCUGAACCAGAAGGUGAGUAACCCAGACACCCUGGGGAGAAGCCCUGGGCACAGCAGAUGAGACCCUUCCUGGAGACUAAGGGCUUGGAGGACAUGGGCUGUUGCCCUCCGGUGAUUCCCCGUCUUUCCGCCUUGGGCGGGUCCAUUCUGUUCUACCUAGAGACAGAGGUGGGACUAGGUAAGGCCAGGUCUCUGAGCAGUGGUCACUGAUUUGAGCAUGACUCCUUCCCUUACCCUGUCCCCAGCU